rnacentral:rRNA from 1 species
CCCUUAGAUGUUCUGGGCUGCACACGUGCUACACUGGCAGGUUCAGCGAGCUUCAUGCUCUGAUCUGAAAGGAAUGGGAAAUCUUUUCAAAACCUGCCGUGCUUGGGAUAGAUGUUUGCAAUUAUUCAUCUUCAACGAGGAUUGCCUUGUAAGCGCACGUCAUCAGCGUGCAUUGAAUACGACCCUGUAUUCUGUACACACCGCCCGUCGCUCCUACCGAUUGAAGUUUUCGGUGAGUUGACAGGAGGAUUUUUUUGAAACUGGUUCGCCAGUGGAUUUUAGAUCCAAAUGCCAACGAAUCGAUGGCUUUAGAGGAAGGAGAAGUCGUAACA